rnacentral:hammerhead_ribozyme from 1 species
AUCCAACUGACGAGUCCCAAAUUGAACUCAACACGCGUCCUGGAU